rnacentral:rRNA from 1 species
UACAGAGGGGGCAAGCGUUGUUCGGAAUUACUGGGCGUAAAGGGCGCGUAGGCGGCCUGUUAAGUCGAACGUGAAAUCCCCGGGCUCAACCCGGGAACUGCGUCCGAUACUGGCAGGCUUGAAUCCGGGAGAGGGAUGCGGAAUUCCGGGUGUAGCGGUGGAAUGCGUAGAGAUCCGGAAGAACACCGGUGGCGAAGGCGGUUAGCUGGGCAGUUGCUGACACUGAGGCGCGACAGCGUGGGGAGCAAACAGG